rnacentral:rRNA from 1 species
CAGUCGCCACGGGAAUACGGAGGGUGCAAGCGUUAAUCGGAAUUACUGGGCGUAAAGCGCACGCAGGCGGUUUGUUAAGUCAGAUGUGAAAUCCCCGAGCUUAACUUGGGAACUGCAUUUGAAACUGGCAAGCUAGAGUCUUGCAGAGGGGGGUAGAAUUCCAGGUGUAGCGGUGAAAUGCGUAGAGAUCUGGAGGAAUACCGGUGGCGAAGGCGGCCCCCUGGACAAAGACUGACGCUCAGGUGCGAAAGCGUGGGGAGCAAACAGGAUUAGAUACCCCUGUAGUCCCUGUCUCUUAUAC